rnacentral:lncRNA from 1 species
CGCCCGAAAGCCGGGGCUUCAAGUUCGUCCAGCGGAAAAAGGCCACAAAAAUGGGUGGGCUAUAGCCUUGGGGGGUGGGGCUGGCCAACUUCGUCCGCCGGACUCGGAAUGGCGCGAGACUUUGCGAGGCGCCUCCGUGUGCCAAAAAUAGGCCGCGGGCACAGCCGCGCCCAAAACUAACCCCCCGAAGUCCGGGGCGACAAGUUCGUCCAGCGGAAAAAGCCCACAAAAACGGACGGGCUAUAGCCUUGGGGGUGGUGCUGGCCAACUUCGUCCGCCGGUCUCGGAAUGGCACGAGACUUUGUGAGGCACCUCCGUGUGCCAAAAAUAGGCCGCCGGCACAGCCGCGCCCAAAAAUAACUGCCCGAAGGCCGGGGCGCCCAGUUCGUCCUGAGGAAAAAAGCCACAAAAACGGGUGGGCUAUAGCCUUGGGGGGUGGGGCUGGCCAAAUUCGUCCGCCGGACUCGGAAUGGCGCGAGACUUUGCAAGGCACCUCCGCGGGCACAGACGCGCCCAAAAAUAACCGCCCGAAGGCCGGGGCGCCAAGUUCGUCCAGCGGAAAAAGGCCACAAAAACGGGUGGGCUAUAGCCUUGGGGGGUGGGGCUGGCCCACUUCGCCCGCCGGACUCGGAAUGGCGCGAGACUUUGCGAGGCGCCUCCGUGUGUAAAAAUAGGCCGAGGGCAAAGCCGCGCCCAAAAAUAACCGCCUGAAGGCCAGGGCGCCAAGUUCGUCCAGCGGAAAAAGGCCACAAAAACGGGUGGGCUAUAGCCUUGGGGGGUGGGGCUGGCCAACUUCGUCCGCCGGACUCGGAAUGCCGCGAGACUUUACGAGGGGCCUCCGUGUGCCAAAAAUAGGCCGCGAGACUUUGCCGCGCCCAAAAAUAACCGCCCGAAGGCCGGGGGGCCAAGUUCGUCCAGCGGAAAAAGGCCACAAAAACGGGUGGGCUAUAGCCUUGGGGGGUGGCGCAGGCCGACUUCGUCCGCCGGACUCGGAAUGCAGCGAGACUUUGCGAGGGGCCUCCGUGUGUAAAAAUAGGCCGCGGGCAGAGCCGCACCCAAAAAUAACCGCGCGAAGCCUGGACGCCAAGUUCGUCCAGCGGAAAAAGGCCACAAAAACGGGUGGGCUAUAGCCUUGGGGGGUGGGGCUGGCCCACUUCGUCCGCCAGACUCGGAAUGCCGUGAGACUUUGCAAGGGGCCACCAUGUGCCAAAAAUAGGCCGCGGGAAAGCCGCGCCCAAAAAUAACCGCCCGAAGGCCGGGGCGCCAAGUUCAUCCAGCGGAAAAAGGCCACAAAAACGGGUGGGCUAUAGACUUGGGGGGUGGGGCUGGCCAACUUCGUCCGCCGGACUCGGAAUGACGCGAGACUUUCCGAGGGGCCUCCGUGUGCCAAAAAUAGGCCACGGACAAAGCCGCGCCCAAAAUUAACCGCCCGAAGGCUGGGGCGCCAAGUUCCUCCAGCGGGAAAAGGCCACAAAAACGGGUGGGCUAUAGCCUUGGGGGGUGGGGCUGGCCAACUUCGUCCGCCGGGCUCGGAAUGCCGCGAGACUUUGCGAGGGGCCUCCGUGUGCCAAAAAUAGGCCGCGGGCAAAGCCGUGCCCAAAAAUAACUGCCCGAAGGCCGGGGCGCCAAGUUCGUCCAGCGGAAAAAGGCCACAAAAACAGGUGGGCUAUAGCCUUGGGGGGUGGGGCUGGCCAACUUCGUCCGCCGGACUUGGAAUGCCGCGAGACUUUGCGAGGGGCCUCCGUGUGCCAAAAAUAGGCCACGGGCAAAGCCGCGCCCAAAAAUAACUGCCCGAAGGCCGGGGCGCCAAGUUCUUCCAGCGGAAAAAGGCCACAAAAACGGGUGGGCUAUAGCCUUGGGGGGUGGGGCUGGCCAACUUCGUCCGCCGGACUUCGAAUGCCGCGAGACUUUGCGACGGGCCUCCGUGUGCCAAAAAUAGGCCGCGCGCAAAGCCGUACCCAAAAAUAACCGCCCGAAUGCUGGGACGCCGAGUUCGUCCAGCGGAAAAAGGCUACACAAACGGGUGGGCUAUAGCCAUGGGGGGUGGGGCUGGCCAACUUCGUCCGCCGGACUCGGAAUGCCGCGAGAGUUUGCGAGGGGCCUCCAAGUGCCAAAAAUAGGCCGCGGGCAAAGCUGCGCCCAAAAAUAACCGCCAGAAGGCCGGGGCGCCAAGUUCUUCCAGCGGAAAAAGGCCACAAAAACGGGUGGGCUAUAGCCUUGGGGGGUGGGGCUGGCCAACUUCGUCCGCCGGACUCGGAAUGCUACGAGACUUUGCGAGGGGCCUCCGUGUGCCAAAAAUAGGCCGCGGGCAAAGCCGCGCCCAAAAAUAACUACCCGAAGGACGGAUCGCCAAGUUCGUCCAGCGGAAAAAGGCCACACAAACGGGUGGGCUAUAGCCUUGGGGGGUGGGGCUGGCCAACUUCGUCCGCCGGACUCGGAAUGCUGCGAGACCUUGCGAGGGGCCUCCGUUUGCCAAAAAUAGGCCGCGGCCAAAGCCGCGCCCAAAAAUAACUGCACGAAGGCCGGGGCGCCAAGUUCGUCCCGCGGAAAAAGGCCACAAAAACGGGUGGGCUAUAGCCUUGGGGGGUUGGGCACGCCAACUUCGUCCGCCGGUCUCGGAAUGCCGCGAGACUUUGCGAGGGUGCUAGGUGUGCCAAAAAUAGGCCGCGGGCAAAGCCGCGCCCAAAAAUAACACCCCGAAGGCCGGGGCGCCAAGUUCGUCCAGCGGAAAAAGGCCACACAAACGGGUGGGCUAUAGCCUUGGGGGGUGGGGCUGGCCCACUUCGUCCGCCAGACUCGGAAUGCCGCGAGACCUUGCGAAGGGCCUCCGUUUGCCAAAAAUAGGCCACGGACAAAGCUGAGCCCAAAAAUAACCGCUCGAAGGCCGGGGCGCCAAGUUCGUCCAGCGGAAAAAGGCCACACAAACGGGUGGGCUAUAGCCUUGGGGGGUGGGGCUGGCCAACUUCGUCCGCCGGUCUCGGAAUGCCGCGAGACUUUGCGAGGGUCCUCCGUGUGCCAAAAAUAGGCCGCGGUCAAAGCCGUACCAAAAAAUAACCGCCCGAAGGCCGGGGCGCCAAGUUCGUCCAGCGGAAAAAGGCCACAAAAACGGGUGGGCUAUAGCCUUGGGGGGUGGGGCUGGCCCACUUCAUCCGCCGGACUUGGAAUGCGGCGAGACUUUGCGAGGGCCCUCCGUGUGCCGAAAAUAGGCCGCGGGCAAAGCCGCGUCCAAAGAUAACCGCCCGAAGGCCGGAGCGCCAAGUUCGUCCAGCGGAAAAAGGCCACAAAAACGGGUGGGCUAUAGCCUUGGGGGGUGGGGCUGGCCAACUUCGUCCGCCGGACUUGGAAUGCCGCGAGACUUUGCGAGGGGCCUUCGUGUGCCAAAAAUAGGCCGCGGGCAAAGCCGCGCCCAAAAAUAACUGCCCGAAGGCGUUCGUCCAGCGGAAAAAGGCCACAAAAACGGGUGGGCUAUAGCCUUGGGGGGUGGGGCUGGCCAACUUCGUUCGCCGGACUCGGAAUGGUGCGA